rnacentral:rRNA from 1 species
UAGGGAAUAUUAGUAAUGGGCGAAAGCCUGAACUAGCAACGCCGCGUGUGCGGAGAAGGCCUUCGGGUUGUAAAGCACUUUUUGAGAGGAUGAGGAAGGACGGUACUCUCAGAAUAAGUCUCGGCUAACUACGUGCCAGCAGCCGCGGUAACACGUAGGAGGCGAACGUUAUCCGGAUUUACUGGGCGUAAAGCGCGUGUAGGUGGUUUGGUAAGUAGGGCGUGAAAGCUCCUGGCUCAACUGGGAGAGGCCGUUCUAAACUGCCGAACUAGAGGAUGGUAGAGGGAGGUGGAAUUCCGGGUGUAGCGGUGGAAUGCGCAGAUAUCCGGAGGAACACCAGUGGCGAAAGCGGCCUCCUGGACCGUUCCUGACGCUCAGACGCGAAAGCUAGGGGAGCGAACGG